UACGUAGGGUGCAAGCGUUGUCCGGAUUUAUUGGGCGUAAAGAGCUCGUAGGCGGCUUGUUGCGUCAGCUGUGAAAACCCGCAGCUCAACUGUGGGCUUGCAGCUGAUACGGGCAGGCUUGAGUUCGGUAGGGGAGACUGGAAUUCCUGGUGUAGCGGUGAAAUGCGCAGAUAUCAGGAGGAACACCGGUGGCGAAGGCGGGUCUCUGGACAGUUCCUGACGCUGAGGCACGAAGGUCAGGGGAGCAAACGGG
rnacentral:rRNA from 1 species